rnacentral:rRNA from 1 species
CCUAAGGUAGCGAAAUUCCUUGUCGGGUAAGUUCCGACCCGCACGAAAGGCGUAAUGAUUUGGGCACUGUCUCAACGAGAGACUCGGUGAAAUUUUAGUACCUGUGAAGAUGCAGGUUACCCGCGACAGGACGGAAAGACCCCAUGGAGCUUUACUGUAGUUUGAUAUUGAGUGUUUGUGUCACAUGUACAGGAUAGGUAGGAGCUGAAGAAUCCGGGACGCCAGUUUCGGAGGAGGCAACGGUGGGAUACUACCCUUGUGACAUGACCACUCUAACCCGCACCCCUUACCGGGGUGGGAGACAGUGUCAGACGGGCAGUUUGACUGGGGCGGUCGCCUCCUAAAAUGUAACGGAGGCGCCCAAAGGUUCCCUCAGAAUGGUUGGAAAUCAUUCGUAGAGUGUAAAGGCAGAAGGGAGCUUGACUGCGAGACCUACAAGUCGAGCAGGGACGAAAGUCGGGCUUAGUGAUCCGGUGGUUCCGUAUGGAAGGGCCAUCGCUCAACGGAUAAAAGCUACCCUGGGGAUAACAGGCUUAUCUCCCCCAAGAGUUCACAUCGACGGGGAGGUUUGGCACCUCGAUGUCGGCUCAUCGCAUCCUGGGGCUGAAGUCGGUCCCAAGGGUUGGGCUGUUCGCCCAUUAAAGCGGUACGCGAGCUGGGUUCAGAACGUCGUGAGACAGUUCGGUCCCUAUCCGUCGCGGGCGUUGGAAAUUUGAGAGGAGCUGUCCUUAGUACGAGAGGACCGGGAUGGACACACCGCUGGUGUACCAGUUGUUCUGCCAAGAGCAUCGCUGGGUAGCUAUGUGUGGACGGGAUAAACGCUGAAAGCAUCUAAGCGUGAAGCCCCCCUCGAGAUGAGAUUUCCCAUCAUUUUAAAUGAGUAAGACCCCUGAGAGACGAUCAGGUAGAUAGGCUAGAAGUGGAAGUGCCGCGAGGCAUGGAGCGGACUAGUACUAAUCGGUCGAGGACUUAACCAC